rnacentral:rRNA from 1 species
GCUUAGCCCUAAACUUAGAUAUUUAACAUACAAAAAUAUCCGCCAGAGAACUACGAGCAAAACGCUUAAAACUCUAAGGACUUGGCGGUACCUCAAAUCCCCCUAGAGGAGCCUGUUCUAUAAUCGAUAAUCCACGAUACACCUCACCAUCCCUUGCUAAUCCCGCCUAUAUACCACCGUCACCAGCUUACCCCAUGAGGGACAUAUAAAGCAAGCAAAAUAGCUAAAAAGCUAAUAAGUCAGGUCAAGGUGUAGCUAACUGAGAUGGAAGAAAUGGGCUACAUUUUCUACCUUAGAAAUUAAUUUUACGGAAGGAAACUAUGAAACUAGUCCUACAAGUAGGAUUUAGCAGUAAACCUGGAUCAGAAUGCCUAGUUUAAGCCGGUCCUGAGGUGCGC